rnacentral:lncRNA from 1 species
GGGGCAGGUACAUUUAAUUCAUUGAUCAACAUGUUUCGGUUCCUAAGGCAUGAAUAUGACGAUAACACUGAAUAGCAGGCACUAGACAGAAUAUCUAAGAGAAUGAUAAGUUAUCAUAAGCUAGCUAGGGGAAGCCAAUCUUCAAACUAGAUAUAUAUAUAUAUAUUUUUUUAAUUUUUAACAAAUCUGUGCAUAAUAUCAAUGCAAUACUGGCAAUUACUGAAACCAUUGUAAACUUAUAAUCAAAAAGCUAUAAUUGUAUUAUGGUAAUGCAUGUGUCUAUUCAUUGAUUCACCUCUUCAUCUCACAUGGUGCAUGUUCAUGGUUUGCCUUACUUACAAAUUCUUCAACAUUGCAUAAUUAUAUUAUGCUAAUGCAACAAGCCUCAUGUGUCUAUUCAUUGAUUCAUCUCUGUUCGUCUCACAUGGUGCAUGUUCAUGGUUUGUGUAACUGAGUCUUUUUUAGACGAAAUGCGGAGGAAAAUCUAAUCGGAAAGUCCAUAAUCACAUGGCGAAAUUAAAUGACAAAACACAUCAAAAACGAAUGAGGUAUGUCCCUUAUGAAGAUAGUAUUUGUGAAAGAAAAACGCCAAUACACUAA